GUGAGGAAUAUUGCGCAAUGGAGGCAACUCUGACGCAGCCAUGCCGCGUGCAGGAAGAAGGCGCUACGCGUUGUAAACUGCUUUUAACCGGGAAGAAACCCCAGGACGUGUCCUGGGUUGACGGUACCGGAGGAAUAAGCACCGGCUAACUUCGUGCCAGCAGCCGCGGUAAUACGAAGGGUGCAAGCGUUAUCCGGAUUCAUUGGGUUUAAAGGGUGCGUAGGCGGCGCGUUAAGUCAGUGGUGAAAUCCUGCAGCUUAACUGUAGACUUGCCAUUGAUACUGGCGCUCUUGAGUGCGCUUGAAGUGGGCGGAAUGUGCCGUGUAGCGGUGAAAUGCUUAGAUAUGGCACAGAACACCAAUUGCGAAGGCAGCUCACUAAGGCGAUACUGACGCUGAGGCACGAAAGCGUGGGGAUCGAACAGGAUUAGAAACCCCGGUAGUCC
rnacentral:rRNA from 1 species